AAUAGAAUUGCUGGGUCAUAUGUUAACUCUAGGUUUAACUUUGAGGGCAACUGUCAAAAUGUUUUCCAAUAUGGCUGCACCAUUUUACAUUCCCACCAGCAAU
rnacentral:pre_miRNA from 1 species